rnacentral:rRNA from 1 species
GGGGAGAGGAAUUGCAAACUCCCCAACCAUCGUGAACGCUACCCAAACCGUUGCUUCGGCGGGCGGCGCCCUCGCGCGCCCCCCUGGGCCCGCACCGCGGGCGCCCGCCGGAGGUACACCAAACUCUUGAUAUGUUAUGGCCACUCUGAGUCUUCUAUACUGAAUCAGUCAAAACUUUCAACAACGGAUCUCUUGGUUCUGGCAUCGAUGAAGAACGCAGCGAAAUGCGAUAAGUAAUGUGAAUUGCAGAAUUCAGUGAAUCAUCGAAUCUUUGAACGCACAUUGCGCCCGCCAGUAUCCUGGCGGGCAUGCCUGUUCGAGCGUCAUUUCAACCCAUCAAGCCCACGGCUUGUGUUGGGGACCUGCGGCUGCCCGCAGGCCCUGAAAACCAGUGGCGGGCUCGCUAGUCACACCGAGCGUAGUAGCAUACGACCUCGCUCAGGGCGUGCUGCGGGUUCCAGCCGUAAAACGACCUUCGCAACCCCAAGGUUGACCUCGGAUCAGGUAGGAGGACCCGCUGAACUUAAGCAUAUCUAAACCGGGAAAGAAAACUAAUAGAGUUGCAAAACUCCCGGAACUGGGGUCUCCUACGUGAUCCGAGGUCACCUUUGGGGUUGCGAAGGUCGUUUUACGGCUGGAACCCGCAGCACGCCCUGAGCGAGGUCGUAUGCUACUACGCUCGGUGUGACUAGCGAGCCCGCCACUGGUUUUCAGGGCCUGCGGGCAGCCGCAGGUCCCCAACACAAGCCGUGGGCUUGAUGGGUUGAAAUGACGCUCGAACAGGCAUGCCCGCCAGGAUACUGGCGGGCGCAAUGUGCGUUCAAAGAUUCGAUGAUUCACUGAAUUCUGCAAUUCACAUUACUUAUCGCAUUUCGCUGCGUUCUUCAUCGAUGCCAGAACCAAGAGAUCCGUUGUUGAAAGUUUUGACUGAUUCAGUAUAGAAGACUCAGAGUGGCCAUAACAUAUCAAGAGUUUGGUGUACCUCCGGCGGGCGCCCGCGGUGCGGGCCCAGGGGGGCGCGCGAGGGCGCCGCCCGCCGAAGCAACGGUUUGGGUAGCGUUCACGAUGGUUUGGGGAGUUUUGCAACUCUGUAAUGAUCCCUCCGCAGGUCCCCCUACGGAAGGAUCAUUACAGAGUUGCAAAACUCCCCAAACCAUCGUGAACGCUACCCAAACCGUUGCUUCGGCGGGCGGCGCCCUCGCGCGCCCCCCUGGGCCCGCACCGCGGGCGCCCGCUGGAGGUACACCAAACUCUUGAUAUGUUAUGGCCACUCUGAGUCUUCUAUACUGAAUCAGUCAAAACUUUCUACUACGGAUCUCUUGGUUCUGGCAUCGAUGAAGAACGCAGCGAAAUGCGAUCAGAUCUGUGCAUUGCAGAAUUCAGUGCCUCAUCGAAUCUUUGUACGCACCUUGCGACCGACAGUCUUUUGGCGGACAUGCUUGCUUGACCGUAAUUCGGCGGCUUACCGUCGGGACCAACUGGCCACCACGAGAUAAAAACGAGGAUAUCAUCUGCUCCUGUCUCCCCCCAGAAAAAAGAUAACACCUCUCUAUUAUAGGAUGUACAUCAAUAUCCCACAUAAAAAAUAC